rnacentral:rRNA from 1 species
AACGAACGCUGGCGGCAGGCUUAACACAUGCAAGUCGAACGCUCACCUUCGGGUGGGAGUGGCAGACGGGUGAGUAACGCGUGGGAACGUACCCUUUGGUUCGGAAUAACCCAGGGAAACUUGGGCUAAUACCGGAUACGCCCUCCGGGGGAAAGGUUUACUGCCGAAGGAUCGGCCCGCGUCGGAUUAGCUAGUUGGUGGGGUAAAAGCCUACCAAGGCGACGAUCCGUAGCUGGUCUGAGAGGAUGAUCAGCCACACUGGGACUGAGACACGGCCCAGACUCCUACGGGAGGCAGCAGUGGGGAAUAUUGGACAAUGGGCGCAAGCCUGAUCCAGCCAUGCCGCGUGAGUGAAGAAGGCCUUAGGGUUGUAAAGCUCUUUCAGCGGGGAAGAUAAUGACGGUACCCGCAGAAGAAGCCCCGGCUAACUUCGUGCCAGCAGCCGCGGUAAUACGAAGGGGGCUAGCGUUGGUCGGAAUUACUGGGCGUAAAGCGCGCGUAGGCGGGUGAUUAAGUCAGGGGUGAAAUGCCGAGGCUCAACCUCGGAACUGCCUUUGAUACUGGUCGCCUGGAGUUCGGGAGAAGUAAGUGGAAUUCCGAGUGUAGAGGUGAAAUUCGUAGAUAUUCGGAGGAACACCAGAAGCGAAGGCGGC